rnacentral:sRNA from 1 species
AACAAAUUAAACGAUGUAAGCCCUACCUCUCAAACAUUCUUACGGCUCCAAAGCCGAUCCAGGUGAAUAAUUAUCAAAUUGAACAU